GGGAGAUUGGUCGAGUGGUUAAGACAAUAGAUUUAGGCUCUAUCCUCCGGGGUCGCGGGUUCGAACCCCGCAUCUCUCA
rfam:Dictyostelium discoideum AX4 chromosome 2, whole genome shotgun sequence.